UACAGAGGGGGCAAGCGUUGUUCGGAAUUACUGGGCGUAAAGGGCGCGUAGGCGGCCUGUUAAGUCGAACGUGAAAUCCCCAAGCUUAACUUGGGAACUGCGUCCUAUACUGGCAGGCUUGAAUUCGGGAGAGGGAUGUGGAAUUCCAGGUGUAGCGGUGAAAUGCGUAGAUAUCUGGAGGAACACCGGUGGCGAAGGCGGCAUCCUGGACCAUCACUGACGCUGAGGCACGAAAGCGUGGGUAGCAAACAGG
rnacentral:rRNA from 1 species